GGCGGUCGAUGUAAGAGAACCUGCGGCACAUGGGCGGAUGCGGCUCCCUAUAUACAACUCGGUCACCAUGGGGAUGGGCUGGGGCCUUUUCCUGUUGGUCCAGACCCCUCAAUCUGCCCAGAGAAGCCACGACAGAAGAGUGGUGAUUGGUGCAAGCGACAUGGGAUGAGGGUUCAGCACUGAUCAAGGUAUUGAGUGAACUGGCUCUCACUACGUAUGGCCUUUAAAGACUAUCUGCUGCAUUCCCCUUGGCAAAAUUUCAAUGGAGGUGCUUUACCCAAGUCUACUGAUGGAAUCUGACAUUUGGAAAAAGGGGACAAAACUUGAAGAGGCUCAAAGGCAUCCUGAGAAAAGAAGAAAGAGAAGGAAGUGUAAAAGACAGUAGGUAAUCUCAGUUUUCCAUGAAACACAAUUUAUAAUUUAGUUGCAUUUCAUUAACCCAAAUUACAUACACUCACAAGAAUGCACAUUGAACUGCUUCAGUCCUGCCCCUCCUUUACCUCAAAGCAGAUGGAAAUUAGGUGGCAGACUGGGAAGGUUGCCAUGGUGUACUGGCUACAGGGAUUUAGUAGCAAUCAAAAAAAAGCUCCAGAGUCCCUUCCCCCAACCAUCCAAAUGUGUGUUUCUCUUUUUUUCUCUCAAGUCCUUGUCUUAAUUAAUUCCAUGUUAUAGAGAAAUCAGGGUGAGAUUGAUUUACUAGUGAGAAAAAAUUUUUACUGCCUCCAAAAUUGUUUAUAGAUGCAUUGAUAUUGUUAGAAGUAAAAUACUGAUGAACUAUAACUGGUCCAUUUUUAUGUAGAGCUAGCCACACAAAAAGUAAGAAUUUAGUUUUUAAAAGUCUUAUACAACAUGCCCCCCAUCUUUGAGACUUAUAUUUCUUACUGGUUUUUAUCCCCCUGGAUGACCUGCAGGCAUCUCAAAUUCAAUAUAUCUAAGUGAAAUUAGUUAUUUUUCUCCAUUACCCUCCUGAGUAUUCUAUACUCUCAAUUAUUCUAUUCUCAAUAUCAGUUCAUUGUCACCAUCUUUCUAGUCUAUCAAGCUAGAUUAAAAUAAUAAUAACUUCAUAUAAUAUUUACUAUGUGUCAGGCGCUAUUCUUAGCACUUUAUAUAUAUUAUUAACUGAUUUAAGUUAAUCCCAAUUAAUCACUAAAUUCUGUCAAUUAUAUUUCAAAAUUGUCGUAAUAAAUAUUUGCAGGAUGAACAAAUGACUAAUCAUCUAAAGCUUGACCAAUUUUAUUAGCCUAAGGGCUUAGCUCAAGGGGAGGAUGUGGCAGAAUAUUUAGGAAUUGCUCUUUGAGCUUCCUCUUUAAGCAUUACAUGUAUAAAUCCAUGAGCCAAAAUAGUAGAAGAUAACCCUUUGUAACAUAUUGGAAUCAUCCACUACACCAGUGUUUCCUAAAUGUGCUGAAGUAACUAGGGUGCUAGUUAAAAAUACUGAUUCCAGUUCCUGCAUUGAAGAGUCUGAUGCAGUAGGUCUAAUUCAGUAAAUAGUAUUCUCUUAGAAUUAAUAAUUUACUGCUUGGAACUAAAGAGUUUUAAUGCUUUGGAGUAGUGUGAUUCAGUUACUUCUAAAUUCUGAUAACCCCCGAAUAAACUGACAGAGAAUUACUCUCCAGACAGUCAUAAUUCUGAAAGACGCAACUCCCAGUGAUGUCCAGCUGCAAAAGGUUUUGGGAAACAUUUCUCCAUCUUCCUUUAGAUUUAAAAAUCAAUUAUGCAUGUGCAGAAGAGAGGAAAGGCUGCUCAGCCUAAAAGAUCAUUUCUCUAUUCCCCUUAAACAUUGAUUAUGCAUGUAUUGAAGAGAAAGGAUUAGAAAAGGCUGCAGUUUUUUUUCUUCAUCUGCUUAUAAGAACAGCAACCUGUUAUUUAGUAUACAGAUUAUAAGGGAUGCAGAGGUUUAUUCAAGGUAGCAUGCCCUGAAAUAAGUCCCUCCUCAUGGUAAGAUUGUCUCUGGAUUUAGCAUACUUUACUAAAUAAGCUCAGUAUUAAUAUUUUUAAAUGAUUUCAGUAUUUUUAGGUAUGUAAGAGAGACUUCACUCUCACCCUUCGUGUUACUAAGCAACGUAUCAUACAGUUGCCAGGAGACAGACUAGCAAGCUUGGGGGUAGUUCAGUUUUCCCUCAUCACUUUGCAUACCACAUGACUGUACCCUAGAGAGUUUUACAGCCUUAGAGAAAAGAGAGAAAAGUUAAUGGCCCAUAGAGAGGAUGGAAAAAGAGACCAGGAUGAGGGAAUAGAAUAAGGAAAACAGCAAAGUAUUUGAGAAGAGUGUGUGAGGUUGGACGAGGAAGGCUAUUAUGCAAUUUCCUUAAAUGAGUCAUGAAAAAACCUUAAAUUGCCAGUGCUCUAUUUCAUAUUCUGUAUGCUUCUAUCUUUUCUAAAAGCAUAUUAGACAGUAAACUUGGAGAAGAGCUUUCAGGUAAUAUUCCUGAAUAUUUUCAGAAGGGUGGAAAUCAAUUGUAACUCUUACAGAAGACUGCCAAUUACAAACACAUUAAACAAGUCAUACAUUAUUUAAAAUUCCAAAGUCAGAUAUACAACACUAUUUCCUUCCAUUUCUCCCUCAAAAUAGUAAAAAAAAGAUAGUUCUAAGAGGGAGGUUAUAAUAUAAAUGUUCUUGGACAAAUUUAGAAACAAGGUGGUUAUAUAGGCUCCUGGGCGGUAUGUAUUUCUGUACAAAAUUUAACAAAUCUAAAUAAAGAAGGGAAAGAAGAAGCUAUUGUGCUCUACCUAGAGGACUCUUGUAUCUGAAAUAAGAAACCAGGCUCUAGGUUUCAUUGUGUGCAUGUGAAAGGUUGAGUCUUUGUGUCUCUGUGGUAUUUACUGUUGCUGGCAACCAGGAAGCUCCCUAGCGAUUGUUGCUAGGUCCUCAGGGCCUCUGUUUGCCUGAAACCUUAAUCAAUGCCAGAAAGACCAGAGAUAGAAAUCGUUGCGCAAAAUCCAGAGCCUGUUGUCCCCAAUGGUCCUGCUGCAAACAGUCCAUCUUGUGUUCAGUGAAAAUCAGUGUAAAAUGGAGACUUCACACAAAGAGUUCAUCCUCAGCUCCCUCUUCACGAAUGCCAGUGCUCUCAGUGCAGAGCACUAAGAGGACCCUGGAGGGAUGGUUUAAUAAAAUAAGGUUUAUAUUCUGGUGUCACCAGCUUUGACUAAAUACACAGUAAAGAGUCUGAGACAGGGAACACAGACAAGAAAGAUUUCGUUAGAUUUAGAUGACUUCCUAUUCUGAGGUAGGGUGGCCCCCUUAAUGUUUGCUGACAGCAUGACACUGUAGUGACCACAGAAGCCAUGGUGCAAAUGAUGGCACCAUUUCAAAUAGGAAUCCAGAAGAUUCUGAUAAAGAUCCAUGUCAGCUAUAUUCAGUAUCUUGUAAGAAUCUAUAUCUAUCUAUCUAUCUCUCUCUAUAUAUAUCUGAAUCACUUUGCUGUACAACUGAAACAUUGUAAAUCAACUAUACUUCAAUUAAAAAAAAAGAUCCAUGUCAGCAUCAUCCCCGGAAUAACAGACGUUGUCUCUUGAAAUUAAACAUCAGCUCUUAGAUGAACCUCGCAAUCAAUACAGCCCACUUACUUAAGCCAUCCUGUACAGAUGCAGGCUUUAAAUUUUGUUUCCUGUGUAACACCUGCCCAGUCAUAGACAGUUUUAGCUCUGAAUUUACCUGGAAACAAUUAUAAAUCUGGGGUGAGAUUUAUUAUAACGCUAAGACAUUAUAUCUACUUAAAACCAGGUAUCUAGCCUCCGAAAGUAGGACUGAGAGCUACUUAUUAUUGUCAUUAUUACUAAUUUUUGAGCACCUAAUCAAGGUAAGGACUUUGUAUGUAUUAUCUAACUUAAUCCUUAAAAUAAUUCCAGGAGAUAGGUACAGUUAUAUUCAGUUUUUUCCUCAGUUGAGGAAACUGAGGUUCAGAGAAGAUAAAUAAUAUGCCCAGGGUCUCUCACAGCUAAUAAGUGGCAAAAUGAUAAUUUAAACCUGGACCUAUCCUGCUCAGCUUUUGACUCUGAACUACUAUUCUAUGUAUUCCAUUUAAUAGAGAAUGCUUUUCAUGUGGGAAUAAAUUGUGUAGUACAUCAUUGUGUCAAGGUGAAGAGUAUAGGCUCUGGUGUUCCUCUGUCCCCUUGUAGGGUAGUUGAAACUCAGAAUGUCUGCUCUCUCUGUGGUUGGCUUUGCCACAAUGGCUCUACCAGGACAGUCCUCCAGAACCCUGCAAUUCCCCAUCCUUGCAUUUCCCCAAAUCUAGUUUAUUCCAUAUGUAAUAACACCUAGUGGAGUCUUUAGAUGGAUGGUUCAGAUUGGGCUCUGCAGUCCCAGUCCAGUCAACCUGGCAGUUCUUUUUCAGUGUGAGGAAGGCUUGCCUCUAGAGCCUUCCUGUACUCACCUGAUCUCUUCUUCUCAUUUCCUUAUCUAAUAAGAA